AGUUUGAUCCUGGCUCAGAACAAACGCUGGCGGCGUGCCUAACACAUGCAAGUCGUACGAGAAAGUCGGCUUCGGCCGAUGAGUACAGUGGCGCACGGGUGAGUAACGCGUGGGUAAUCUACCCCUCGGUCAGGAAUAACCCGCCGAAAGGCGGGCUAAUACCCGAUAACACUGACGCUCUGCGGAGUGUCUUUCAAAGAAGGCCUCUGUUUACAAGCUUUCGCCGGAGGAUGAGCCCGCGUACCAUUAGCUAGUUGGCAGGGUAAUGGCCUACCAAGGCAACGAUGGUUAGCUGGUCUGAGAGGAUGGCCAGCCACACUGGAACUGAGACACGGUCCAGACUCCUACGGGAGGCAGCAGUGAGGAAUCUUGCGCAAUGGGGGAAACCCUGACGCAGCAACGCCGCGUGAGUGAGGAAGGCCUUCGGGUCGUAAAGCUCUGUCAGAUGGGAAGAAAUGGGUGGGGGCUAAUAUCGUCCACCCUUGACGGUACCAUCAGAGGAAGCACCGGCUAACUCCGUGCCAGCAGCCGCGGUAAUACGGGGGGUGCAAGCGUUGUUCGGAAUCAUUGGGCGUAAAGCGCGCGCAGGCGGCUUGGUAAGUCAGAUGUGAAAUCCCUGGGCUUACCCCAGGAAGUGCAUUUGAUACUGCCUCGCUAGAGUACGG
rnacentral:rRNA from 1 species